AGUACUCACCGGGAGAGGCGGAGAGGCGGGUAUAGCUUGGGCGGUUCGGCUGGAGCCGGAUCCUGGAAGUGUUGGCCAGAGGCUUCUGUCACCGGGAUUCGAGCCUGCGGAGGUGGUGGCUCUAUGACCUCGGGGAGAGCUGGCGGAGGAGCAGCGGCUGCUGCAGGAACUUCACCUGGCCCUGGAUCGGGAAUUAAGGCGGCCUCCGGUCCUGGUGGAGCACUGGGAGGCAGACCUUCUCCUACUUUUCGUUCUGUCUACGAAGUUCUCGGUACCCUAUGUACUUCUGAUACUUCCACUCAAUCAAACACUUAAAUUGCCAUUCUGCCUCCGUCCUAACUGGGGUGAGAAGAGCCUUACCUGCCAGAUCCCAGAGGGAGAAGGGGGAUCGGCGUGUCUUCACCUGCCGGUCAGCACAGCCGAACCAGAACACCACGUGGUCCAAGACUGUUUCUCCCUUAACUUUCAAAGUCUGUUCUGCUUUGGUGGACUUGAUCAGGCACUAAACACAGAGUUCAGAGUCCAUUGGAAAGGUGGCCGAGCAUGAUCAGCAUGAACAGGCCUAAGAUGGAGUCCUAUGAAUUCCUUCUUCAGUCUUAUAUGAUUUUACACAGGGUGGUGGUGAUGAAAGCAAAUCCACAUUUUAAGGCAAGACGAGAAAAAUGUAAACAAACAUCACCAGCAUCAGAACGCUCUCAUCUUGUGAUCAAGGAGCUGAGCUGUCACUUCCGCCAGGAGGGAAAAGGCCCACGCUGCCCAUCGCAGAUCUGUGCAUGGUCGCUAUACAGGAUACAGCACAGCCCAGAACUUUCAGAAACCCGGGUCACGGCGCCACCCUAGCACAGUCCCGUUACAGCACGCUUUGAGCGUUCUUGCUUCCACGCUCAGAGGUUCUGCAGCCAAUAUGUGUGGAGGGCGUCCCCAGACACCGGCGGUUCUCAGACACAGUUGGGUCAGCUCAAGCCAGUCCUGACUCCAUCUCCCUGGACGCAGCGAGACUUCGCCCCCAAGAGACUCCCACUUCAGACACCAGCUGGCGGUCCUCAGUGGAGCCCUGUUCUGCCACUGUCUCCCUCAGGUUAAGGGUGUGGUCCUGAGAGGCUCUCCCCGCCCCCAGCCUCAGG
ensembl:lncRNA